CUCCUCCUCCUCCUCCUCAUGCUCCCAGCACUACUCCCAGCAUGGCUCCUACGGUAUCCCCUCCUCCUCCUUCUCCUCCUCCUCGUCCCCAUGCUCCCAGCAUGGCUCCUACGGCAUCCCCUCCUCCUCCUCAUGCUCCCAGCACUACUCCUAGCAUGGCUCCCACCACUUCAUCACCUCCGGUAUCCCCUCCUCCUGCUCCCAGCACUACUCCCAGCAUGGCUCCCACCAUUUCAUCGACUCCGGUAUCCCCUCCUCCAAUGUCUUCUCCGAGUCCAAGUCCAUCCAUGAGCUCCCCACCUGCGCCUGCACCUGAAACGCCAGCCUCUCAACCAGCUCCAGCACCUGAAACGCCAGCCUCUCAACCAGCUCCAGCACCUGCUCCCUCCAACACCACCACCCCCUCCUCCCCAGAUUCAGGUGCAUUUGUUCAGGGAAGUAACAUGGCUUUGCUCACACUCUUUGCAGGAGUUGCACUCCUCUUUUAAGCUCCAGUGUUUCCACGAUAUUCAUUUCCAUUCACAUUUGUGUAGAUUAAAUAAUGCUUUAUGUAUUCUUUUCCUGGUAUUUCUUUUUCAUUGGGAGCUCUCCAGCUUUUCUUGUUUUCCUUUUGAUUUUUUUUUUAUUUCAUUUGUGGUUAAUUUGGAGCUCCAUUUGUAAUUUGUGAGCAAAGAUCAGGACGGUUUGGAGAUUUUACAGAGUUACAUCUCUUCUUUUAACAUUUUAGGUUAGCCUAAUAAGGUAAAUUGUCUCUCCGCUUCGACUACCUACCAGUAUUUAUUAUGUCAUGCAUGCAUAAUUAGGCGGUACAAGUAGCCCUCAUUGCUGAAGAGUUACUACAAUUUCAGGCCAAGGUCAGGUGCAAAAGCCUACACUUAUCAUUGUCCACCAUCUUACAAUACAAGAGAGAUGAGAAAAUGUUUAAAAGUAUAUCUCCAAACAUGCAUCAAUUCGGCCUGUCCGAUUGCAGCUGCAAGCUGACCAUAUGCAUAAUUAUAUCACCCUUUUCAACCGUCAAAAAAUUACACCGAGGAGAAUUUAACCAAAAAAGUAAUGUCCUCAAAGUUUAUGAGUAAAUGGACUUGAAGCAAGGUGAAAUGAUGAACUGGUGUAAUUGUUGGUGGGACGGGACGAAGGAAGAAAAUGUUGCUGUCUGCUAGCUGGAAGGAUACAAGUAUGUGGAGGAAACUACAAAGAAUAACUCUUUCAGAGGAUAGGAAGGUGUCCUUGGGACGUUUUCUUGUGUGUGGAAAUUAAAGGGGAAUGGGCUUUGGAUGGUGGAACUCAGGCAUAAGCAGAGAAUGGCUGGUGAGGUGGGGCUAAAUUGGUACCACUGAAACACGACCGGGAUGGUGACCUGCACAUGGUUUCUCAGCCCCACCAUGAAACAUACAUACAAAUUCAAGAAACAGCUGGCUAGAAGUUAAUCCAAUUACACAGCUUCAAACAAGAUUUCAGACAAACAAAGAAUGAGGGAGAUCAAUCAAGAUAACCUUCAGUUAUCCCCAAAUUUUAAUAUUUACAGUGCUAUUGACACGAGAAAGUUACUAUGCAGUCAGUGGAAUUGUACAAAUCCACCACCUUUGCCUCGAGCUGUGAAAGGGUCGUUAGAAAGAUUUAGGAUAAUGUGACAGCACAUAACAACACUAAUGAUGUCGAAUCAAAUGUCAUUUUAACUCUUGUAUAAACCAAAAUUUGUGUGUAUAAACCACAAAAAGAAUGAUUUGAUACUUAUGCCACGGCAUUGUUAAUCUUUGGUGAUCAUUAUCUUUCUAAAAUUGCAGUGGCUAUGACAGAGGAGCAUCGGUUUCCAACAAAAAGCUAAGCAAUUAGUCAUCUUUGAUGAUUCCAUGAAGUCAACAGCCUGUGAUAUUACUCCCUAUGAGUUGGGAGUUCCUAUCACAUCUAUUAACUUUGUUCUACUUCAAAAUAUCUGCUUCAUCAAGUAGAAGCAUGCAUGUUGAUUAGUUCCCUGAUUGCUAAACCAGAUGAAUAAUGACAAACUCACUAAAAACGAAGCUUACAGUAAUGACAAACUCAGUUUCAACAAAGCUUGGAUUUGAAUCCCUCCAAACUUGAGAGCCAGAGGGACUAAAACCGUAAAACCGGCUAAACCAACAAAAAAGUUGAGUUGGAUCCAAAAUGCGUAUUCUCCCUUUCCCAAUGAAUUCAAAGAUUCUAAAGAUAUUACAAUAGGCCAUAAAAUCUCUCCACUAUGAUUUCCACAUAAAGCCUGUUGGUAUGCAUCUUUGGAAGAAACACAAAAACUUAAUAAUAUAAUACGGUUUCAAAAAUUUUGCCACCAAUGGGAGAGCAAUCAAAAGGAUCGUACUGUGUGAACUCCUUUCUGACACAAGGAUGAAUUUCAAGGAUUUUUGGUUAAGCAGGCUCCCAAAAGAAUAGAGGAUAAUGAGUAGGUGGAUCUACUAAUUCAACCACCAACAAUAUUCUUUUGUACAUGGGUUAGACACAGGGACCUCUUAUGUUCCACUAUCAACUUUUUGCAUGGGACGUGGUCGGGGCCCACUAGUUAGAAUGGUUGAAUACUUGAACUAAUGGCAAGGAUUCUUCAACUCAUCAUUCACUGAACCAGUAAGAUCUAGUAAUCACAUCAUUCUAUUGUACUGGACCAUCUAAGCACUGAAGAGACCUCAGAUUUACAAAAGCAUAUAUUAGUGAGCAUUCAAAUUCUGCAAAUUCCAAGGGAUCAUUUGCAGUCAAGACCAUGGAAAGCCUAGACCAGUCCAGUAAAUUCCUCAGCAAACUUUUCCUGGUUCAAAAAGGUUCAUUAUGGAGUAUAUUGGCAAUUAUAACCACCUAUUCAAAUGAUCAAAAUUCUGAUCUAUGGAUAGAACAGACACCAAUGCCUGAGGUAUGAGUUGGAAUCAGCUUAAGCAUAUUGCAUACCAAUGUACAAUCAAAUAAGUUGUACGCUAACUGCUAUGUACUGCUUUGCUCAUUCUACCUGAGUAAAUUAUUGAGACAUAAAAUUUUCUGAGGAAGAGACAGAAGGAUGGAGAGAAGUGUCUAAGUUGUUCUAAGUCUAAAAUGCCAACAACAUACUCAUGGACGAGUAUUUACUAGCCUAUCAUGAGGAUUAGUGGCUUCUUUGGCGCACAUGUGCAAUUCUGUGCUUUUCUCAACAUAUUUCAGCUGACAACAUUAAUGGAUUCCAGGAAGUAAGAAAUACCCAAGGUAAAUAUUUUGCAUGAAAAAUAAGAAUAUCACAAGUUACAUAUGUAAUUAGUUAUCUUUUUCUAAGUCUUCUUCGGCACUUGAAACACUCACUACAUGGAGACUUACUACUCUUUGUACUCAAGGAGGUGGCUUGAAGCUUUUCAGGUCUUCCAAGAGUAUCUUGUGGAGUUUCUCGUUUUCCUUCAUCAGCCCCUCAAUGAUUCUCUGAUGGCUCAAAACCUGAAUCAAUGUGGAACAUCACUUUCUAGAUUAUCGUCAAAUAUAUCCUAGGAACAGAAUCAUUUGAUCCGCACUGAAAAUUGGCACCAAAGUUCCUAUACAUGCAUAACACAUUAUUUUCUUGAUGUAUAAAUAAAGGGUCCAAAAUCUUUCUACUUGGUUUUAGGAAAAUACACUGAGCUUCAUCACAAAACCUUUUUAACAGACUGUAUACAGUCUCAAGAGGAAAUAAAGACACAUUUUAUUUCUCUAAACCAUGAAUGUCAUGCUACUUACGCUGAAAUACAGUUCCCUUAAAAAAUCUAAUAUGGGCUACAAUUAGAUCACUGUCAGCAUAUAUUUGCUAGUAAAAGAUCAGCAGUAAAAUAUUACCAUCUGAAGUACGUUGUUCUCCAAGCGUAGAUGCUCAGCCUGCAAAUUUUUAAGAAAUCAAAGACUAUAUUUUUAGAAAGUUGUGCUCCAAGUCAGUAAAUAUGUACAUAACCAAAUUGAAAAUGAUGUAGACAAAUAAUCACUGCAGGCAUAAUAAUAUCUGUAAAAACAGUGUAAACAUAUUCACGACAUUGAGAGCAAAAAAAUCAUUUCUUCUUCCUAGGAUUAUUUAUUACAGUAUAAUGAAUGAAGACCAGGCUUGAAGGUGUAAUAGCAGAAGGGAUGCAGUUUACGGUCAGAAAUUCCAGUUGUGAAAGCUUACACUUGACCUCCAUUUCAGGAAAAAUACUCACAACUUAAAACUGAUGGACUAAGUUGAUUCCAAAAUUCAGCAUGUAAAUGGGCUUGAGAUAAUUAGAGGUCAUCCUUUACAAUUCCAUAUUUUUACUUGUUCGCAUAGCCUGUAAGCUUUAAAUGCUCAAAACACAUUCUCAUUAACUUAGCUGUAGAGUUUCAAAACGUUAAGCUCCUCUGCAAAAGCUAUAUCAGUGCCAACGGAAUUUACAAGCCAAAGGUACCAUUUUAAGAAAGACAACAGCAAUACUGUAACUUACAUAAAUAUGCACCAAGAAAGAUGAAAGCAACACUGUAAUCAUCAAUAACUAAGCUUUAAAGUCAAGCAACAAUCAGAUAAAUAGCUAAUAUAUACAUAUCAAAGAAGUUAUUUGGGAACGACAGGUCCAUGGAUGCAUGGUUCAAUUAGCAUACCAGCUCAUUUACUUCUCUGUCUUCAUCUUUCAAAAGAGGAUUUUGUAAAAAGUUGCUGAGGACCUUCUCUGUUUGACUACUGUAAGAUGCAUUUAGUGGAGUACUUUUGUAAGCUUCAGUUUCAUCAGAAGAAACUGUACUUGCAUCUCCAGGCAAUCCUUGACGCUUGAGCUCAGGGGCUUUCUUUGCUACUUGUGCAACAGUCCCUAGUGGAUUUGAAAUUGAUCUGUGGCUCGUCAUGCUGAGGCCACCUUGCAAUGACUCUGGAAGAGCACCUUUGACAGCAGGCAAGCUCGGAGCUAUACCAAACCUCAUCAUUAAAUUUGCCACUGUUUGCUGAUAGGAUACUAGGUGUAAGAUCGAACCAAUGAAGCAUAGCAGGAAUUAGUGAAAACUGAAAAGCAUAACACUAUAUACAUACAAUGAGGCACGACUGAAGCUGAUGCAGCACACUUGGCUUCAUGGCAAGACCUGUCAUGCAGCUACAACAGCUUCAGAAGUGCAAACAAUAGCACAUAAAUAAGUUAAAUUCCUUUCUUUCAGGAAUCUAGUUGACCAGAAAUUUAGUGCUUAAUAUACUUUUUCAGUAUUUGAACUUGUGAACACCAAAAAGAAAAGUAACUCUCCAGGAAUAAAGAAGCUAUAUUGGCCGGGGGGGGGGUGGGGGAAGAGAGAGAUUUUGCCAUUGCUAAGCUUGGAUGAUCACUUAAAAGUUUACUUUUGCUAGAAAGCAUGCACCGUAAAAAAGAUCUUUAAACUUUGGGGCAGCUCCUGCUCAUCCCCAUAGCCUUUUUCUCUCAGGCAGUUCUGCUGAUUAGAUAUCCAUUUGCAGUAUUUAUAACCCUCAGAUUUCACCUUGGAAUUUGCCAAGAUAAAACAAUAUAGUUGGAGUUUGUACAUCUUGUCCAUCCUUACCAACACCAAACCCAUGGCCAAAGCCUACUCCACAUCCAAUGCCUGCUUCUAUGUUCUUUGCUCCCAACUUCCUCAGCUAAAAAAUAAUAAUAAUAAUAAAAAUCAAAAUCAAGAAGCAAGUUUAUGAAGGAAGCCUGAGGGGAAUACUUCUCAAUCAUACACAUAAACACACAAACCAUACUAAUUAUGAGCAUUUGACUCAAAGGAAGAUUUAAAAGACAUACAGAGCUAUUAACGUGCCUUCCAACCCCAGAAAAGGCAUCUGUUGCGCCUCUAGCAGCACCCAUAACUUGGUUCAGCAUUGGUAUUGCACCUGAGGCAUGAAAUGUGAACUUGGUAAAAGAGAGAGAAAUAAGUAACAGGGUUCAAUUCCUUGGUUCUCGUUUAUUGAUAAAAGUAGAAGUGGCACAUAAUUAUUUGGUCUCACUAGCUUAAUUUGAUACAUUUCCUGCAAAUAAGAAUUAGAGAAUUGUCAUCGGUUGUUUCAAGACACUAAAAAAGAUUUAACUAGAGAAAAUGAACAGAACCGAAGUUGUUUGAAUAAAAACCAUCAUGAACCACAUUAACUAUAGCUGUUGUCUGAUGCCACUCAACCAUCAAAAUCGGCACACAAUGAUUUCUUUUUUCUUCUAGGUAAUAUGUAAAAUGCCUCAUCGGUAUAAUCUAUCAAGGUGAACAUCACCUCAUUUGCAUAGUAAAAAAGACAGCUAAACAAUUCCUGCAACAAUUUCGUUAACCAGAUAUACGUCCAACAAACACAUUAAAUCUUCACCAAAAACAUGUAAUCAAACUGAAGAACCACUCAUGAAAGAAGAGCACAAAUUUAUCCUUCCCAACUCAUAUAAGAUAUUUUCCCACUUCGACAUCCAUCAUACCAUUGCCUUCCACAUUCUGACAGAGAAAGUCUAACAAACACAAAUGCAGUCUUAAAGCUGGAUAUAUUCAAAAUGACACAAUAUCACUCGAACAAUGCUUUCAGAAAUGCUAAGCAAAUCAGAAAAUUCAGCCAUAACUCAGUCUCUAAAACAGAAUACAAAAUAUACUGAAAUAUUACUUCUUGCAACUUAAACAUUUCAAAUGUAUGCUAAAUAUAUGUUCUUGAAGGACCAAUAGAACUGAAACAUACAAACUAAUGUUGAUAUCUAUAAACAAACAGUUUACAUGAUUUAUGGUCUUUGCCAGCUUUAGGCCCGAAAAACUCUGAAAAGUUCAUAUUUUUCUGGGUUCGAUAAGUCAAGAAAAAACUGAAUAACAAACAAUAAGGAACACAGACAAUGUGAAGUUGCAUAACAAACCUAAGUUUAAAGGGCGUCCAACACCAAUACCGAUUCCACAGCCAAUUCCAAAGCCAGUAAAUACUUGUCCCACUUUUAAAGAAAAGGGGUUCUCUAUUUUCACCAUUCUUUCUUUUGUAACAAUCACUCCACCACUGUUUCUACUACCAGUACUGGUCUCCAUUGUGAAAAAAAGGAACAAAAACCUUUGCCUUUUCCUUUUGUUUUUUUACCCCUCUCUUCAGGAAAAGCUAUAAAGGAUAGAGAUUCUUCAAGAAUUCAAAGCCCAUUUGACUGCUUUGGGUAAGAAAUGAACCUUUUUCUCUUUAUUGCGAAUAGAGCGAUUCGACAGUAGUAAAGAGGAAGAGAGUUGGCGAGACCGACUCUGGGACUCUGGAGCAGGGGGUACAUUUGAAAGAUAUGUUAAAUUAACGGGUUUAAUGCGAGAAAUCACAGAACUUCAGAGGAGGUGAUUCUAAAAGACACAGUUAACUGUCCAGCGAAUUAUCCAGAUGACCUCUAAACUUUUAGAAUCUCCAAAAUUUGGUUACUAAAUUAUUAAAAAUCUGAUUUUAGCUAUUAAACUAUUUAAAAUUUAUAUUUCAGAUCGUUCUAUUAGAUUUGAUCGUUAAUUAUGUCAGAUUUGAGUGCUCGCACAACUCACGAGACAAAAGAAAGAGGCACGAUUAAUGAUAAAAUUUGACAAGAUGACUCAAAUUUAAAUUUUAAAUGAUUUAGUGGCCAAAACCAAACUUUAAAUAAUUUAGUGUUACAAAAGAAAGAAUGGUGAAAAUAGAGAACCCCUUUUCUUUAAAAGUGGGACAAGUAUUUACUGGCUUUGGAAUUGGCUGUGGAAUUGAUACAUAGAAAACAAAAACCUUAUAUAUUGAUUUACUUCAAAAAUUAAAAAAAAAAAUCUAAAAUUCACACUCUUCUAUCCUAGAUCCAAAUAAAAUAAAACCUCAUAUAACUCCCGAUGGCAAACGAUGGGAGGAAUUAAUUUGGGUUUAUACCCAAAUAUACCCAUUUCAUUAUGGAGUUAACUUCAGCAGGAUCAACAUGAGAUGAGCUGAAUUGAUUUAUGCUUAGUUUGAUUAGAAUUAAAACGAAGAAGUAUUUGAUUGUUUUUUGUAAUCUCUUUGUUAUAAUUUGGAAUAAUAGCUAACUAUAUAGAUUGCAUAUGUAUCUCGCUGCUAUAACAUGUAUAUGAAAUAGAAAUUAAUUGAAAGGCAUAAGAAAGAGCAAAGAAAUUAUGUGUAUUUAUUAGAUUAAUCUUUUAUAUAUUAACACUGCAUACACUAUUACUAUUUUAUACACUAACAUUAUAUACAGUAUCACUGUAAUAGCAUAAAUACUAUUCGUAUAUAUAAAAUUAAUUUUUAUUUAUUCGCUCUUCCUUAUAUACUCUGUCUUUGGCGUACCAAAUACAGUCUGCUCUAGGUACAAAAGAGAAAAUAUAAAAAUACAGGGAGGAGCGAAAGGCUAUUGAAAGAAAAUGUUGCAAAUGGACCAGGCCCAAAACAGUCUUAUCCAGAUCUGGGAGAAAUGUCCAACAUUGAGGCCUUAAUGUGGUUUGCUGUCUCCUGACUUCUUCUUCUUGUUUGUAACAUGGGACAUUUUUGUAGUUGUUCUUUGAGGUUGGAAUAAUUUUUUCGAGGCAAAAACUCGGGUAGGCUUAGUCUUAUAGAUCAUGUGGUUCAAAUGUUGUCACAUCUUCAAUUUUUGGGUUGGUGAAAAAUGGCGUGACAAAACAUAGGGCACACAGUCUGUGUAUAGAUUGAGUCUACUCAAGUGUUUGCUAUUUUCGAUGCAGACAAUUGGCGACUAGUAUUGGUCAAAAAUUGACUUUCCUUGAAGGAUGCAGAAGCUUCUUUUUUUUUUUUUUUUCAGAGACGAUAAACUUAUUCUAUCCUACAUUAAGGGAGAGGGGACGGACCUAAGGAGAUCCAGAGGUAAUCCGGAGAGGACUGAACUACCAUCGGACCAGACGGGUGCACAGUACACUCGCGUGAAUUUUUUAGAAACAAACCACUUAGAUGUGAGAUUUUUUGGUGGGAAACAAACACUUGCCUCCCACCCCACCCACUUAGGUGGUAGCCACCAACCUUAUGCAGAAGCUUCAUCUUAGCCUAAAAGGCGAGAAAGGUAUCAAUGGUGAGGACGCGAUUCACCCAUGUUACCCAAUUUUGCCAAAAGAUUUUCCCAGGCCCGCCAACAAAUCUAGUUGGACAAGACAAUUCCACCAAAGAAAACCUCAAGUCUCUCUUCCCUGCAUUGUAAAUCUGAAUGAAACAUUUGGAUAGGAAAUUAUUUGAAAUAAUGCUGUAAUAUUUUUUUUGGUAAUGUCGUGUAUGUGAAAUGAAAAUUUACUUAAAGGAUCAAAAAAUAAUUAAACAAUAUAUUUAUCAUGUAAGCAUAAUAAUAUUUGCAAAUAAUGGCCAUCCAAUCAUAGUAAAGGCAUUUUCUAGUUCUUUAGUUAUUCGAUUACCCAUGAUUGGCUCCCUUGUUUGUAAUAUAGUUAGAACUUGUUUAGAUUGCGAGUUUUUGGGGAGAAUUUUUAAAUAUAUUAUAUAUAUAUAUUAUAAUUAUCUUUCAUAUAUAUCACAUCGCUACACAAGAAAAAAACUCCUAAAAAGUGCAGUUCAUACGUGACCCUGUCUACAAGUAUUUUUUCCAUCCAAACUCCUAAAAAUUGUAAUCCAAACCGCGCCUUAGUAACACCAUCUUGAUGGAUUGAAGGACGCAAUAAUUCAUGAGACAUGAGUAAGAUACUCCUUUCUGAUACUGAGCCGACGUAACUCAUUGAAUUGUAUAGUUAGUAAGUAGAGCCGUGGAAGCCAGCACAGACCAUUUAUUACAAGUUAGAAAACUCCAUUCAAAUCCAACAGCGGGCCCAAGUGUUCAUGUAGCUUGCCAUCAAGAAAGAUUUUGCUUGAAUUGGGGUAAUUACUAAUUACAUAAGGAGUAAAGAUCCCUAGUUGGCCAAUUUAUUAGAGCACUGAGGCCUUGUUUGGACAGUAAUUUUUCAUGUAACUUGCUACGUUUUUCGUGAACACAUUUUCUAAUCACCUUUUUAUCUCACAUAUAUUAAAUCAUUACAGUAAGUAUUCUACAAAAAAUCCAAAAAAAUGCAAUUCAAACAAAGCCUAAAUUGCUCAAACCAAUCAGAGAAGGCUAAGUGUGUGUGUGUGUGUGGGGAAUAGUUUUCAAAUGUCUUCUUGUAAGUGAAAAUAGGUAUUAGUUGGAAAGUUGAAAAUCUCAACUAACAUACGAAUCUUGCUAAUAAAUGCUUUAAUAAAAGAAGUGAAACAACUAUAAGAUGAUCCAUCUAGAAGAAACAAGUCAAGUGUUUAUGUCUGACUCAUUCAAUACAUAAUCAAAAGAUCUAUUAAACUCUUAAUAUUAAAAAGCAUCAGGGAAGCUACAAGAAAAAUCUUUAAUGGGGAAGUGUAACUACAAUUUUCAUUCCUGAGCCAUCUUUUUCUGGAGAUGGAAUAAUCAUGACCAAAGCUUCAUCAGGCACAGAGUUGAUCCAGCAUGAUACAUGAGCAGGCCUGUUUCCUUCUUCAAACCAGAUUUCUGUAACCCCUAAGUCAUCCCAAGUUGAACAAGUGUGAAUUCCAUUCACAGUUGUGGAUGGUUUUUGAACCAACCCUUCUCUCGUAAAGUUUCUUACAUUAACUUCUUCUGAUGGUUCUUUCACCAAGAAGGAGAAAUUUAAGCUUGGAGCUGUUUUAUAGCCAAGCUUGUACUCUGCCUCAUCAAUGCAUGCUGCUGCAAAUUUGUUGUGGAUUUCACUGUCCAAAUCCAGAACUUUGUUGGCAAUGGUGAAGAUCAUAGUUUUGGCAGCAUAUGCUUUUUUGCUUGAGCCAAUUGAUAGACCUGGUAAAGGGCCAGGGUUCCUAAGAUUGGGUCGGUAAAAUAUUGGUAUUUUGGGCACAUCAGUUCUUGAAACCAUUUCAACGUGAAUGUCUCUCCAUCUCUUCAAAAAACUUGUCAUAGCAACAGGAUCAACCAGAAGAAGGCUGCAACUAAUCCCAAUAGAGUAUCCCCCACAUUUGAAGCUGGUUACCUAAAACAUAUUUAAAAGAAAAAAAUGAAGAUACUGCUUAGAUCCUUUCACCUGAAGAUCAGAUAUAUUUUACAUUAUCUUCACCUAUGACACCGCUAAUACCCAGAACAAACAAAUCCCAAAUUUAAAAAGUUUACCAAAUGAUGAAUGAUUCCUCAACGCCUUAGUGUGAGCUAUCAGUUUAUCAUGCAUGAGACUUAAUCAUUGGUCAGUUCUAGUCUAGAAGUAUAGUAAUCCAAUUUUUAGUGUGUAUACUUGCUAACCUGGACAUAAAACAAAGGGGAAAAUUGAGGAUUUUGUUCACGAUCCAAACCCUCCCAAUAGACAAGUUCAGCUUCUGCUUUUUUCUUAUCCUUCAAAUCAAGAAACUCUGAUAAGGUCAUGGCAAGCUGUGCCUCAAUCAGUCUAACUCCUGAAUCAUUUGACACCAUCUCCAACUCUCCUUCAACAUCUUGAUUUCUCCUUAGCCUUCCGGCAAGCAUUGGCUGCUCUGAUAAUGCCCAUCCCAGUGACUCCCUGAUCCAUCCUGCAACUAGGGAGCCAGAAGCUAUCCCCGAAUCCUCCUCUUCUGAGGCUACCUUUUGGUAGCACAGAAGAACGUUAAAGCACCUGAAGAAUAUCCCUGAAAUGGGAUUCUCAGAAAGACAAACUCGAGUGGAUUUUCUUGGAUCAGUUGGCUUGACUGGCAUCACAGUCUGGAUAGCAUGAAACUCCAACUUGGAGCCAAAGGGACCAUUGCCAUUGCACGCUGCCAUUUGGUAAUUACUAGCAAUAUUUCAAUGACUUCUCUCUCUCUCUCUCUUUUUCUUUUUUGGGUAGAAAUUUCAAGAACUAGUCGACACUCAAUUAAUCACAGAAGAAGUUGUCAUUUAUAAGGACUGUUUGCCAGAUUUUCGUAUGAUAGAUUUGAAUACUCCAAAUAGGCGUCAAUUUCCUACUGAGGUGUUUGUAGGAUGGUUGUGCCGCUACACCUAACUUCCAUAAUUAGUACUUAUACAAAGAAAGGAAAAAUUUAUUUGCUAGUACAUAAAAUUUGGUAACAGACCACAGCUAAUCUGUCGUAGUCCUAAUUUAUUGGUCACAUAAGAUUUCCAUAAACACCGGCCCCGGCCCCGGCCCCUGUUCCUGAAGAUUAAACAUUUGUUUUCAUGCGGUGGGACAAAAUUCUUUCAGUCGGGUAGUUGGCAUUUAAAACAAUGGCCUCCAGGGCAUGUAAAUUAGAAAAAUUUCCGGUGAUUCUAUCAUAGGGGUGCCAUACUUAACUCUAUCACGGUAGUCGCAUGAUUGAUAUAAUUUCUGUCAUUAGUACAGAUUUAUUGAAAAUAUGAUGCUUUAUUUUAUUAUUAUUUAAAAAAAAAAAAAAAAACUCUACCGGAACUUACUGAAAUUGUUGUCAAUCCCUUGCCAGAAUUGAAAAACUCAGUAAUUUGUUCACUCUUAGGAUUUCAUAGGAGCGGCGCCGGCGGAGAGUGACGGGGCAAGUGGCUAGGAAGGCCCCCCAGUAGUUGGCUCUUGAUUGUCUUGAAGGUGCAUGGACAUGGCCAGUUUCUCAGGAAAAGCACUUGGAUGCUUGACAACAUAGAAAAGGAGGCAUUUGCCAACAAUCAAAGGCAAAAUUUUAUAUUACUAAUUAAUGUAACUCGCUGUCCUGGCCUUCCUCUUCAGAGUUGAGACCUAAAGAAUUUAAGGUUAGGCAUUUAAGUCUCGCACCCUAUAAAUUCAACUGUUAUUGGGGAAAGAGAAGUACAAAUAUUACAAGCAUAACACUUUCUAAAAAGUUGGAUUUCUGAAGAGCAACAAACAUAUUGGAAAACAAAAAAAAAAAAAUCUUAAUUUCUGCAAGUUAUCUUUCGUGAAAACUGUAGGAAUAAAGAUUUGGACCAUUUGCCAAAAUUAAGGCUGGUUUUUGGCACUUUUGCCCAAAGGGUUCUGUAGUAUAAUGGACCACAAAUUUCAAUAAGCGCCCUCCCCGGCUCAAUAAUAGUGUGUACGUUGUAAUCAAACAAAAAGAAGGGAAAUUCUAUGAUCUAUUUGGAAAUCACUCCCUCAUUUUCUAUUCCUAGUGAUAACAGUUGUUCUUGUUCCUCCGAGUCAUAUUAAAAGCUGCUAUUAAGAUGAUUCUCCUGAGUCAUCAACAGCACAACUUUACUUUCAUUUUGCCCAUUUGACUUAUUCUAGGAGCUAAUCCACCUAGCUAUUUCCUAAAUCCUCUUCCCACUUGAAAAAUCCAGAAAAUGUACGUAGAUCAAUCCGAACAAUUGGAUUUAGCGUUCUUGUUCCUCCGAGAAUACAUGCGCAUUCAAUUCUUGCAACAAAGAUUCCAGCCAUUCAACUUGAAUAAUGGGAGCAUUGUCAUAUUACAAUGUCUAGACAAUUUGAAGAUUGAAACUUUGUAUCAAAGUAUUCCUCAACUACACCAAUACUAAUGCAUUGUGCAUCUGCAACCUAGAUGAUGAUGAAUUUUCCCUACUUUGAAUACCGCAUUCAUUGAAUGAUCAAAUGACAUCUCAUUCUUCUACUGUUCCAGAAGUUAUUUUUAGCGUCUCAAUGAAAGGCUUUGAUUCCCCAGAAGCAAGAUGCUUGAGGAAAUCUCUUAAACUGCUCCCCUUGUAUUUUUUCCGAUGGUCUUCAUCCACCAAUUCAAUAGCAGGCUCAAGAACUUCAUCCAUUCCCAAACUCAGGAAACUAGCUAUAGAAAGCCUAGUUUCAUUGCUAGAUUCUUGGAUUACACGAUGCAAGACAGACUUGUACUUGCCAUUGCUUAACACCAUCUUUUAAGCU
rnacentral:lncRNA from 1 species